rnacentral:lncRNA from 1 species
GGCUAAAGAUGACUGCAGACUUCUGAGUAUUGACCAACUAUCUCGAUGACUGACAUUAGGCCCUAAUAAUGGAGGCAAAGUGCUCCAUAUUUUAGAUCGAGGCACGUCAGUCAUCUGCAAAGAGAAGGUACGAGAAAGGCUGGGAACCAGGGGCAGGCCAAUAUGGCUCUAAGGCCUAUCCCUGAACCGCUACUCUCAAAGCCCUGAAUAAGGCAUCAGCGCAUAAAAUGAAUAGGUAGGGGGGAG